UCUCCCAACCCUGUACCAUGG
rnacentral:miRNA from 1 species